rnacentral:rRNA from 1 species
UACCAUGCAAGUCGAACGAUGAUUAUCUAGCUUGCUAGAUAUGAUUAGUGGCGGACGGGUGAGUAACAUUUAGGAAUCUGCCUAGUAGUGGGGGAUAGCUCGGGGAAACUCGAAUUAAUACCGCAUACGACCUACGGGUGAAAGGGGGCGCAAGCUCUUGCUAUUAGAUGAGCCUAAAUCAGAUUAGCUAGUUGGUGGGGUAAAGGCCCACCAAGGCGACGAUCUGUAACUGGUCUGAGAGGAUGAUCAGUCACACCGGAACUGAGACACGGUCCGGACUCCUACGGGAGGCAGCAGUGGGGAAUAUUGGACAAUGGGGGCAACCCUGAUCCAGCCAUGCCGCGUGUGUGAAGAAGGCCUUUUGGUUGUAAAGCACUUUAAGCAGGGAGGAGAGGCUAAUGGUUAAUACCCAUUAGAUUAGACGUUACCUGCAGAAUAAGCACCGGCUAACUCUGUGCCAGCAGCCCGGG